AGGAAACAGACAUUCAUGUGCGUAGGGUUUGCAAGGCCUCUGCAUAUGAUGUUGCUCUUCAUCCUCCCAGCAAGCUUGGAUUAUAUACGUGUAGCUGGCACAGGACCUUGCUAGCACAGGACCUCACUCCCAGCUCCUCCUGCAGCUCAACAUGGCCAGGUGACUGGUUCUCACUAAAGCAACACGGAGUCUGGCUCAAUCUCAG